rnacentral:lncRNA from 1 species
UAUAUCCGAGACCAAGACACCAAAUUAGAGAGGAGCUGACUUGGCUUCAACCUUUCCUUUUCAAGCAAGGAGAAUGGAUUUAACAGUCACUACCUUGACUGAU